GGGCAGGGUCAGUCACAGCUGCGUGGGAAAUAAGGAAGCGUCAGGACCAAUGUCAGCAGCUAUCCAGGCCUCUUGAAGAACCGAAUGCAGUUCAUUGCUGUUCAUCCAUCCAAUGGUUAUUUGCAGCUUCCUGUGUGGGGCCACUGUGAGCACUGGGGACCACGGAGAAGGGUGGCUACCUGGUCCCUGGAAUUUGGUGUCCUCUGCUCCCUCUUCUACUCACUCUGUCCUCUUUAUCCCUCAACUUUCCUAUCUACCUUUUCACUCCUCUUUUUUAUUUCUUUUCCUGGUACUUUUACUGCCUUCUUGGUGUCUUGUACUCAAAAUGCCCUGGGAGAGAAUCCGACGCCUUUGGUUGGUUGCUCUCUGUCCUGGGGCAUGUCUCCAGGCAGACUUCUGGCACCAGCCUUUCUUGUAUCCUUAGGCCCCAGUUACACGGUAACUGGAGGUGGUCCACUCAGAUGUAUCCCAGCCAACGGAGGGACAGCGAACGCCUGAGGAAUUGCCUGAGCACUGUGUUCUCAAAAAGAGGCUGAGGUUCUGGAGGUUAGAAGUCUGAAGUGAGUCCUACAGAGUUGAAUUGAGCUGUCGCAGGCCAGGCUCCCUUGGGAGACCGCACGGGAGAAAUCUGUUCUUUGGUUCUUCCAGCUCCUAGAGGCUGCUUCAGUCCAAUCCCUGUUUCCAUCAUCUGCUUGCCUUCUCCUGUCCCUGACCUUCCUGUGUUCUUCUUGGGGGACCCUUGCGAUGACAUUGGCCCCACCUGGGUAAUCCAGGACAAUCUCCCUGAUGCAGACCCUGGACUUGAUUAUAUCUGCCAAAAUCUCUACUGCCAUUUAAGACAUCAUCCCCGGGUUCUGGGGUUUGGUGGUCGACAUCUUUGGAGAGUUAUUAUUUAAUCUAACACAGAGUCGUGUCUAUUGCGGUUUAGAUCAAAGGGUUUUACUCUUGAAAGCAUUCAGUGGAACAAUUCAGGAAAUUCCUAACAGGUGAUGGCAACACGAUGGGAGUUGCCGGUAUUUCUACUGGAACUAGACCUAGAGGGUGGUCUCCAGUGACCGGCUCGCUGGCCAAUUGGCACAAAAGCUUCACUGUUGAUGAUCCAGUCUUCAGCUUUGAAGUGUCAAACAGUUGACAUCACUCUGAGAGCGGGACUUGUAGGGACUAAUUCACAAAGUUCACGAGAGACUCACAUGUAAAACCGGAAUGCCAGUUUAUGACUUGACCAAGGUAAAAAAUUAGUUUCCAGUAAAGCAGGUUAAGAGACCCGUGGUGCCUCUGAGCAACAAGUUAGCAACUUCUCUAGACCUUGCUUUAGUCAAAUGGGAAUAAGGGAGCACAGUUAGCCCUGUGGACCGUGGAGUUUUGUGUCCACAGAAUCAACCUCCUGUGGAUUAAAAAUAUUUGGAAAAAAAUAAUAACCCCAGAAAGUUCCAAAAAAGCAAAACUUGAAUUUGCCACGCGCUGAGCACAAAGUUCAAUGCUUGCAACUGAAGCGACGGGGAGGCAUACCCUGCUGUAGCCUAUAUGCAAAUAUGGGUUAAGUACAAAAGCUACGCAGUUUUAUGUCAGAAACUUCAGCAUCCUUAGAUUUGGGUAUCUUUUAGUGGGGGGGUGUCCCAGAACCAACUCCCCGCAGGUGCAGAGGGACCACUGUAUCAAUAGAACGGGGUUAUGUGCAGAGUGAUUGAGAGAAUGCAUGGAAAAUGUUUGGUUGGCACAAAUGGGGUCACCUCAUUAUUCACAUCAUUUUGCAACUGAGGAAACUGAGGCUGAGAACACUUGACUCACUCCCAUUGGCAGAGAGGAGCUGGAACGAGGUUGCUGAUGCUAUUGCUGAAAGAGCUGGUUAGUCUUCCGUCUCAGCAGUGAGCUUCAUACUGAGGGUCUUUCUACUCCCCGGGCAAAGCUGCCCGUCGUUACCCCACUGUACAGGCAGCACAAGCCUCACUUUCAAACCUGAUUAUUCACCUGACUGGAAGACUGUAGCUCUCUGUUGAAUCCUUUUUGCUACUAAAUAUAAAAUCUCUCUUGAAUCCUUUUGCUACUAAAUAUAAAAUCUCUAGGCAAGUGCCCUCUUUAUAGCUCAGAAUAUUUUUCUCAGGUCAGUAAUUGCAGAAGAAUGAUGUGUGGCAAUUGAAGUCUAAAUUCACUGUCAUUGUUUCAGACUUCCCCUGUUUCUCAUUGUUGUCUUUUAACUCAUCACCCGGCACAGACAUUUUUUUUCUUUAACGUAUGACUUUAAAGUGUGAUUUUUAUGCCCUGGCAAGUACAGGUCAGUUGGUUGGUCAUAGUCCUGUGCACCGAAAUGUUCAUGGUUCAAUUCCCAGUCAGAGGCACAGUCCCUGGUAGGGGGCGUGCAGGA